ACUCUUCACCUCUCCAUUUAGCUUUGUGAUGUGUGCACCUUAAGCAGCUGAAGCUGCCAGCAUGAUCUGAUCUUUUGCGAUCUCUUUUUUUAUCUGAAUAAGUUGAUGGAAAUAUUGGGUUCCUAAGAUUCAGAUCGUGCUGCGCAGUUUCAUCUGCUAAUCGAUGCACUACACUGUGAAUUUCUUUCUAUCAUAUAUUACUAGAUAUUCAUUUCUAGACCUUAUCUGAAGAUUAGACAGAAAAAACGCAAUAUAUAGAGUAGAUCCAGACAGAUCAGCUGUCUGAUCGAUCUUGCAUGCAAAAACCCGUGGAGAUUGAGAUCUAGACAGAUCGUACUUAUGCAUAUAUAUUGACUGUUGUAAUCUGCACAGGAGUCAUAUGCAUAUUGAUCGAUCAACCGAGGUAUGCAUGCAUAUAUAUGGUUUAUCUCUGGCCGGUCUGUAAUUUGCUAUCACCGCCUCAAACUCGAUUUAAUUAGUGCACGUGCGUGUAUUUUUCUUAAUUGCUGCAGCUAGGAUAGGGGGGGAAUCUACAUUUCUUCUUGAUUUUCCGUAAUUUCUUCUGAGUACGCGUAUUUCUUUUGUUCAAACGAUGAGUCGAUAUAUAGAUAUAUGUCUCUUCUCUGUUUUUUUUCCUUAUUUUGUUUCCAGACAUAAUCGAUCGAUUGGCCGGUUCUGAAACUACAUAUACAGAUUCUCAAUAUGCAGUCUAAUUAACAUGCUCAAUUUUUUACUAGUUAGUUUUAAUUUUGAGAUUUUUACUAGUUAGAGCUAGCAGAUCGAUAUAUAUAUAUAUAUAUAUAUAUAUAUAUAUAAGAUUGCGGUUUUCGUUCAACGUCCGGAUAGAUCUCUACUAUUAUGAAAAUUGAAGAUUUUUUGCCGGUACUUUGGUAGGUUAUUCGUAUUUGAGUCGGUUUUUAAGUUCAUUCGCUUUUGGAAAUACAGAUCUGUGUUUAAGUUCGUUCGUUUUUGGAAAUACAAAAUAUAUCCUAUAAGAAAUAUUUUUAAAAGAAAACUUACAUGCUAACUUAGGACGCUUUUAAAAAUUUAAAAGGAGUCAUAUAAGAAAUUAUUUUUUUAAAAAAAACUCGCAUGCUUACUUGAGAUAAGAGUCGGACUCCUAAUAACAACUUAUGAUUUUCUAAAAUAAAUAUCCAAACAAAUUCCCAUAAUGAUUUUCACCCUAACUAAACCGUAUAACAAUAAUAAUAAUAAAACUAUAAUAGUCUUCACCCGUUACAACGCACAUGCAUUUUUUCUAGUAAGUUAAAAUGUAAAGCUUUAAAAGGAAACUCUAUUAUUUUUUUCUAAGGUAGUACUUGAACGAAAAUGCAUAUAUAUAUAUAUGCUAGCUGUGUGCAAAUCGUUUUCUAAGAAAGAAAUAUGUUACAGAAGAUGCUGUGGAAAAUUUUAUAUUAUCUAAGAUCGAAAUACUUCUAAACAUCAUUGGUCUCCCUUGCAUUAUUCGUAAUAUUUGCCCAGUAAUUUGAACUAACUUUUGUUUGGCCUGGCCUUAAGUUGUAUAUAUAGAUCGAUGCUAGCUAUAUAGCUAGCUUCCCAUACAUGCAUAGCUUCUAUAUAGAUCAUCUAUACAUGCAUGCAUGUUCAUGAGCUUGAGGAAUUAUGAUACAAAACAUACGAUGACAAUUAGAAAGUGAUGCAAUGAUGAACUAAUACGGCGCCUGUGUUUAACUACCUUCAAAUUUCUCCAAUUUAUGUAAGCUUGAUUACACAUAUUUAACCAGCCAUCCUAAAUAUCCUGAAGAAAUCAUUCUUACGGUAUAUAAAGUUGCCAAUCAAACCACCACUAGUUAUAUGAUGAUGGCUACAUACGCACUUAUAUAUUGGCAUUUAAUUAAUUAUAUGCAAUAAUAUGCAGUAGUACUGUAAGUGUACAGUUAAUGUUUAAUUUGGUUGUAUGGAGAUCAUCUAGCUACCAUAAUAAGUACGUAUCAUGAAAACUAGUAUGGUACAAAUUAGUUAGUUAGCCUAUCCUUCACAAAAUAAAUUGUGCGAGAAACCAUUGUAGUUUUGCAAACAAGCUAGGAAAAAAAAUAUUGAUAUUCGUCAGCAUCUUUGAAGAGAAUAACAUAUAAACAUAGACAUGAGGCAAUACUGUAAGAAAGGGAGUUUCAUUGCACGUCUCUACAUUACAAUUAAAUCCAAACCAAAGCAUUGAAAAGUUAGAUGUAUAAUUAUUAAUCUCUUUUUCAUUGAUUGUUAUCGAUAUUGCUGGAUAAGCUUUGUCUGGAGUAGUCUCCCCUUGUCCAACUACUGGCUGGCUUCGUCACUAGGAGUCAACAUCACAGCUACAAACUAGAUAUUAUAUAUAUUUACAUAUACUAAGCUCUAUUAUGUAACUGGAGUCUUACCAAACACGUCCUUAUUUUAUAUGAAAAAGCUAUACGACACUUUGUUAUAGCCUUAUAUGUGUUCAAUUUUUAGAUUGGAGAGUGAAAAAUAUAAAAUAAUAUAUAUUAUAUUAUAAGGCAUGUAUAAGUACAGCUAUAAAUUUCUUGUGGUUGUGGACACACUUGUAUAGUUGUAUGUAUAAGGAAAGGAAAAUAAUCUAACAUGUUAGCUUUAUUUUUGAAGAACAUGUGGACUAGCAAGCUUGCUCAUAUAGUAUAUGUGUGGUGCCCACUAUAACUUUUAUCAUAUAUACGAGAAGAUGUACGUAAUGUGCAUAUAUAUAUUAUCAUCGAGUUUUCACGGUUGUUUGCUGCUCUCACAGUACACACGCAUGUGUCGAAGAUUCUAAGCCAACGUCUGUACUCUCGCACGGUUCCUCAGAAAAAACUUGAAGCCCAAACUGGAUACUCGUACUAUGGCUGAUCGAGGGCGGGCGGCCUGGGGAGAGAGACGCGACGUCGUGCUGCGUAGGUCGGAGCCUCGUCGCGUGCAGUGCGGAGCCUCUCGUCGCGUCGUGCAUCAUUGCCGGGUUGGUCGAAGGCGUGCAGUGUGGACCUUGUGUCCUUCCUGGUGUCUUGGCCUCUUGGGGCUGGUAGAUCGAUAUGCAUGCUUGUCCUGACACUGGCCUGAUUCAAUUUGAUUGGCAUUCGGC
rnacentral:sRNA from 1 species